ACAGUAAGCUGUAAGAUGAAAAACUACAGACAAACAGGCGCCUACUGCGGUUCAUAAGAGGCGACACACAACACGCCAUCAAGGGUGUAAAUAGAAAUCUGGGACUGAUGACGGAGAUUGACGAGGAAAAUCUCUCUGCGACAUCUGAGAUAGCUGGUAAUGAGCAGCUGUCUGUCAGUUGAUUAGCAAAUCCAUUUCAGAACAGAAAUGAUGGCUCAGACCAUCACACAACAUAAAGAUAUGGAGAGAAAAAAAUCCAUUGAGUCACUACUGCGAAGCCCCAUCACCGAGGGAUUAAUAUCGGUCAUUAAAUACCAAAUCCUACAGGUGGCAGCUUUAAGAGCAGACGGAAAUUAUGUUUUCAUCCAGAGGGCGUUUGGAUGGUAUUUUUUUCCUGGAUUGCUCUCCAACUUUUGAAUUUCAAUUUUCCCUGCCUGUUUGGUGAGAAAUAGAUGGGUGAAAAAUAGAUGGAAAGAAAGUAAUAGGGAGAGACAAGUACUGUAUAUAAAUGUGGUCGUGCCGUAGAGCUUUUUUUAUUUUACUAUGAAAGUAACACCCAAGUUGAAAUAAACGGA